UGGGGAAUUGUUCGCAAUGGGCGCAAGCCUGACGACGCAACGCCGCGUGGAGGAUGAAGGUCUUCGGAUUGUAAACUCCUGUUGCCCGGGACGAAAAGCUUCGACUUAAUACGUUGAAGUCUGACGGUACCGGGUGAGGAAGCCCCGGCUAACUCUGUGCCAGCAGCCGCGGUAAUACAGAGGGGGCAAGCGUUGUUCGGAAUUACUGGGCGUAAAGGGCGCGUAGGUGGCCUUCUAAGUCAUGCGUGAAAUCCCCGGGCUCAACCCGGGAACUGCGUCUGAUACUGGAAGGCUUGAAUCCGGGAGAGGGAUGCGGAAUUCCAGGUGUAGCGGUGAAAUGCGUAGAUAUCUGGAGGAACACCGGUGGCGAAGGCGGCAUCCUGGACCGGUAUUGACACUGAGGCGCGAAAGCCAGGGGAGCAAACGG
rnacentral:rRNA from 1 species